GGGAUAAUAGCAGGUGCUUAGAUAUGAUUAUACAUAUAAUAAUGUCGACAAGAUAGUAACUGGCGAUACAGAGGCGUUUUAGACGACAAUUCAUAAACUGUAUCAAGACUUUUCAACCGGACAGCAGUGGUGUAUCCUAAUUAAUUCAAGUACGAAAUGUGAUUGGUUAUUGUAGAUGUUCCUCAUGGAAGGUAAUAAUACAACAGUAAGACCUGAUGUUGACAAUGAGCCUUCCAACGUUUUAUUAGCUGUGUCUGCUUUUCUACUGAUAGUAUCCGUAAUGGCAGGAAUUCUUAUUUGCAUAGUACGUCAAAGGAAAGUGGGUACCAUUAAUGAUGACGAAAUCGAAUUAGAAGAACCUAAUUGUGUUGACGAAACAAGUAAAUUAACUGGAGAUAAAAACGCACUCUGACAUUUCAGUACACAAUAUCUCUUUGAGUGUUCUACUGUUGCAUUCAAACAGUCAGAUGGAAGACUACAGCACUUAAGAGUUCACAUACAGUAGUAUCCUCAACACAUAUUUUCAUAAUAUAAAGUAAGGAUACGCAAUGAUAUAAUGCCUUACAAUAGGUUUUCAUCAAUUCUGUUAUGUUAACUACGUGUAUAUGAUAAUCGAUAUUUUAAGUGAUUAAAAUCCAAGUUUUGUAAUAUGUUGACUUAAUUUGUAGUUCAGUAUAAAAGGUCAAGUGAAAUAAAUGACCACACAAGUUCAUUUGACACGAAUUGAAGUGAGACGUUUUCUAAGAUCUUGAUAUAAAGAGGAAAUGUUAUAACGGUUUUGAACAAUAUGUUUAAUCACCUAGAACAUGUAUUUAUUAGUGUAAACAUAAUCUUUUGAGUAUACAAUAUUUAGUAGAAGAUACC